UACGGAGGGUGCAAGCGUUAUCCGGAUUCACUGGGUUUAAAGGGUGCGUAGGCGGGCAGGUAAGUCAGUGGUGAAAUCAUCCGAGCUUAACUUGGAACUGCCGUUGAUACUAUCUGUCUUGAAUAUUUGUGGAGGGUGAGCGGAAUAUGUCAUGUAGCGGUGAAAUGCUUAGAUAUGACAUAGAACACCAAUUGCGAAGGCAGCUCGCUACACAUAUAUUGACUCUGAGGCACGAAAGCGUGGGGAUCAAACAGG
rnacentral:rRNA from 1 species